rnacentral:lncRNA from 1 species
GUCAGCUGUUUGAGAACGUCAUCCGAUAAGUGUAAACAUGCGGCCACAUAGAAAUACUUUGAUUUGAAUAUUGAUAACGACGUUCAAGCUGCAUUAGAGCUCUUAGACGGUUCUGAUGCAGAUUUCAGUGACGAUAUUUGGGUACCAUUCAACAUUUUCCCAGAAUCUCCAGCAAGUGAUGAAGAUGAUAAUGAGAAUGCAACUGCGUCUGCGACUGCAUCAGCAAUUUCUCAGGACGAUUCAAGUGUAGCAGCUCCGCAAACAUCACGGCCAAUCAUUAUUUCUAAUAUUUUGUUAAAUGCAGCACAGCCAUCAUCUAUCAGAAAUGUUUCACUAAAUACGACUCAGUCAUGCACGUCCACAAGUAAUACAGUGAAAAGACGCCAACUAUGGAAAAGUUCUCCAUUUGAUUGCAACGAUCUACCCAUUGCAUCUGGUUGUCAAAACGUAGUGAAAACACCAUUUUAGUACUUCAAGAAUUACUUCCCAGAAUCGCAUUACGAAAUGCUAUAAAAUUUACAAAAAUGUACGUUAUGAGGACACGUGGGCAGGAAGUCCGAUACAACCUGUGAUCGAUUUAGUAAGAAACCGUUGCAAUAAUUUAGCAACUGAAAUAUUACAGUAUUCAAUGAUUAUUCCAUAUACUGGAAGAUGCCCUGCGCGUCAAACAAUUCGAUCAAAACCAAGACCUACUGGUCUACAAAAUUUCAUAUGUGCAACUGCAAAAUUAGGAAAAUGGUGAUUUAGAGGAGCCGUCAUCUGAUUCAACCCAUUUUUAAUAACAGGCAUACUGUUAUCAACAAAGGAUUUGACCUCUACAAAUUUUCUGCUGAAAAUAAUUUACCACUUGUUGCUGAUUCACAACUGUACUGCACAUGAGCCAAUUGACAAAUUACAGACAGAUGAUGGAAGCAAUGCGGCAAUACUCUUACCACCUUACGUGACAGCUGUUUGGCAGCCCAUGGAUGAAAAUCCCAUAAAACUCUGUAAGCAAGGAUACCGAACUAAACUCUUACGGAAUGUUGUAGCACAAGAAAACGUUUCGGUUGAGAAUAUUUUGAAAGGACAUUCAAUUCGCAAUGCCAUAUUGCUGAUUAAAUUGGCAUAGGAUGAAUUGCCAAGAGCCGUGCUUAUAAAAUCUUGGAAAAAUAUAAUACAGUGAGUGGGACGAUGACCAGUACGACAGCGAAGACGAAAUUCCAUCGAUCACAUUGAUUAGAUCCAAUAGUUCUCCCGAUGAUACACUUCAUUAGGUACAACCGUUAUUGUCCAAGUUGGGUAGUGUUGACGACGAUAAAAAUACGGAAGAUGAUGAAAAUUUCGAAUUGCCCGGCAAUGAAGUUUAAGAACCAGUUAUAGGAGAAGAUAAGCAACAACAGAAAGUAAGUUUUUCGGAAGCAGUUGAAUGCAUCAAUGCCUUGUUAAAGUGGUAUGAAAACAAUAACGAUCCAAAUCAGGAGCUACAGUAUUACAUAAUAAAAUAAACAAACUAGUCUCGACCGCUUCUUGAAACCAUCCCUUAUAAAUUAAUAUGUACAUAUGUAUGAAUAAUGUUUAAAAGUACAAACUAAAACUAAGUUUCUGUUUUGUUACGAGUAAUAGUGA